GGCCAUGCACCGGUCUAUGAGUAUAGCAGAAUAUCUUUAGAAAUCAUGUUAUUGGUUUAUUUUUUUCUAUCCUAGGUCUCCAGGCUAUCUGGUCCCCCUGGAGCUCUGAAAACCCUGUGGAAGAGAGGGAGGAAGAAUUGUAGGCACCAGAGGGGUUGAGGACACCAGGAGAACACAGCCUGCAGAAUCAACUAGCAUGGCUCACAGAAGGCUGAAGUGAUAAUCACUGCUCGACUGCAUGGGGGUGGCUGUGAAGAGACUAUUGGCAGCCAGAAGAGAUGUGAAAUGUUCCCCCAAAGCUCGAGUGACUCAACAUUUGGUCCAUAGAUAUCUCAGCACAUGGCUAUGGCUCCCAGGUCUUCUGAACUGGUCCACAGCAAGAUUGUUGGAGAGUUUGGAAUUGUAGGUGUGCGGAUGUGUUUGUAUCUAAUCCAGGGUCUGAAUAGGAGCCCCCACUAUGCAGGAGUCCCCUUCAGAAACUGGCUGCAUUUGAAUUUUAAAG